rnacentral:rRNA from 1 species
UACGUAGGGUGCGAGCGUUGUCCGGAAUUAUUGGGCGUAAAGAGCUCGUAGGCGGCUUGUCGCGUCGGAUGUGAAAGCCCGGGGCUCAACCCCGGGUCUGCAUUCGAUACGGGCAGGCUGGAGUGUGGUAGGGGAGAUCGGAAUUCCUGGUGUAGCGGUGAAAUGCGCAGAUAUCAGGAGGAACACCGGUGGCGAAGGCGGAUCUCUGGGCCAUUACUGACGCUGAGGAGCGAAAGCGUGGGGAGCGAACAGG